rnacentral:rRNA from 1 species
CCGGAUUAGAUACCCUGGUAGCCCUCGCCGUAAACGAUGAGUGCUAAGUGUUAGAGGGUUUCCGCCCUUUAGUGCUGCAGCUAACGCAUUAAGCACUCCGCCUGGGGAGUACGGUCGCAAGACUGAAACUCAAAGGAAUUGACGGGGGCCCGCACAAGCGGUGGAGCAUGUGGUUUAAUUCGAAGCAACGCGAAGAACCUUACCAGGUCUUGACAUCCUCUGACAACUCUAGAGAUAGAGCGUUCCCCUUCGGGGGACAGAGUGACAGGUGGUGCAUGGUUGUCGUCAGCUCGUGUCGUGAGAUGUUGGGUUAAGUCCCGCAACGAGCGCAACCCUUGAUCUUAGUUGCCAGCAUUUAGUUGGGCACUCUAAGGUGACUGCCGGUGACAAACCGGAGGAAGGUGGGGAUGACGUCAAAUCAUCAUGCCCCUUAUGACCUGGGCUACACACGUGCUACAAUGGAUGGUACAAAGGGCUGCAAGACCGCGAGGUCAAGCCAAUCCCAUAAAACCAUUCUCAGUUCGGAUUGUAGGCUGCAACUCGCCUACAUGAAGCUGGAAUCGCUAGUAAUCGCGGAUCAGCAUGCCGCGGUGAAUACGU